CAGUAGCCGCGGGAAUACGAAGGGGGCUAGCGUUGCUCGGAAUUACUGGGCGUAAAGGGCGCGUAGGCGGACAGUUCAGUCGGGGGUGAAAGCCCGGGGCUCAACCUCGGAAUUGCCUUCGAUACUGGCUGUCUUGAGUGUGAGAGAGGUGUGUGGAACUCCGAGUGUAGAGGUGAAAUUCGUAGAUAUUCGGAAGAACACCAGUGGCGAAGGCGACACACUGGCUCACUACUGACGCUGAGGCGCGAAAGCGUGGGGAGCAAACAGGAUUAGAUACCCGCGUAGUCCCUGUCUCUUAUAC
rnacentral:rRNA from 1 species